UACGAAGGGGGCUAGCGUUGCUCGGAAUCACUGGGCGUAAAGGGUGCGUAGGCGGGUCUUUAAGUCAGGGGUGAAAUCCUGGAGCUCAACUCCAGAACUGCCUUUGAUACUGAAGAUCUUGAGUUCGGGAGAGGUGAGUGGAACUGCGAGUGUAGCGGUGAAAUGCGUAGAUAUUGGGAGGAACACCGGUGGCGAAGGCGGCUACCUGGACCGGUACUGACGCUGAGGCGCGAAAGCUAGGGUAGCAAACAGG
rnacentral:rRNA from 1 species